rnacentral:rRNA from 1 species
AUUGACCGCUGGCGGCAGGCCUAACACAUGCAAGUCGAGCGAGCGGCGGACGGGUGAGUAAUGUAUGGGGACUGCCCGAUAGAGGGGGAUCACUACUGGAAACGGUAGCUACUACCGCAUACUAUCGGAUAACCCAUUGGGGAUUAGCUAGUAGUUGAGGUACUGGCUCACCUAGGCGACGAUCCCUAGCUGUUCUGAGAGGAGGCUCAGCCACACUGGGACUGAGACACGGCCCAGACUCCUACGGAGGCAGCAGUGGGGAAUAUGGCACAAUGGGCGCAAGCCUGAUGCAGCCAGACCGCGUGUAUGAAGAAGGCCCUAGGGUUGUAAAGUACUGUCAGUCGGGAGGCGUUACCGACAGAAGAAGCACCGGCUAACUCCGGGCCAGCAGCCGCGGUAAUAC